UACGGAGGGUGCGAGCGUUGUCCGGAAUCAUUGGGCGUAAAGAGCGUGUAGGCGGCCCGGUAAGUCCGUUGUGAAAGUCCAGGGCUCAACCCUGGAAUGCCGAUGGAUACUGCCGGGCUAGAGUUCGGAAGAGGCGAGUGGAAUUCCUGGUGUAGCGGUGGAAUGCGCAGAUAUCAGGAGGAACACCGAUGGCGAAGGCAGCUCGCUGGGACGGUACUGACGCUGAGACGCGAAAGCGUGGGGAGCAAACAGG
rnacentral:rRNA from 1 species